rnacentral:rRNA from 1 species
AUGAGCCGCCGUUUUGUCCCCGUCGGCAGACGCAUCUUAGAGCAGAACAUCAAGGCUCGGUACCACGCCGGAGACAUUGGCACCCAGGACGCACUCCACCUGUUUGACGAAUUGCUCCAGGUUGUUGGGCGCUCCUCCAUCCAUGCCAUCAACUGCCUCCUCACCGUUGUCGGCCAUGAUUGCCCUGCGCUCGGCGUCUCCCUCUUCAACCGCGUCGCAAGGUCCAAGGUGGCGCCCUGCAGUAUCACCUAUGCCAUUCUGGUCGACUGCUGCUGCCGCGCUGGCCGCCAGGACCUUGGACACACUGCCAUGGGACACAUCAUCAAGAUGGGAUUUACUGCAGAUGCUAUGAUCACUUUCAGCCACCUACUAAAGGCCAUCUGUGCGGAGAAAAAGACCAGUUAUGCAAUGGACAUCGUACUCCGGAUAAUGCCUGAGUUUAACUGCAUACCAAACAUUUUCUCCUAUAACAUUCUUUUCAAGGGUCUCUGCAAUGAGAGGAGAAGCCAAGAGGCUCUUGAGCUGAUUAACAUUAUGGUUGAGGAUGAACGAGGUUGCUGCCGACCUGAUGUGGUGACCUAUAACACUGUAAUCGAUGGCUUGUUGAAAGAGGGUGAGGUAGGCAAGGCUUACAGCCUAUUUUGUGAAAUGCUAUGUCAGGGGGUAUUGCCGGAUGUUGUGACCUGUAGUUUGAUUAUCUCUGGCAUGUGCAAGCUUCAUGCAAUGGACAAGGCUGAGGAGGUUCUUCAACAGAUGCUUGAUAGAGGAAUUCUGCCAGAUGUUGCCACAUAUAAUAGUCUGAUACAUGGAUAUUAUUCAUUAGGACAGUGCGAAGAGGUGGAUCGGAUUUUCAAGGAGAUGACUACAAAUGGUGCUCAACCAGAUAUUGUAACUUACAAUAUACAGAUGGAUUAUCUUUGCAAGAAUGGAAGAUGCGCAGAAGCUAGGAAGAUUUUUUAUUCCAUGAUCAGUUUGGGCCAAAAACCUACUGUUACUACCUACAACAUUCUGCUUCAUGGGUAUGCUAUGGAAAGAUCUUUUCAUGAUAUGAAUUGUCUCAUUGAGUUGAUGGAUGACAAUGGUAUUUCACCAGAUCAUUAUGGCUACAACAUACUCAUAUCUGCAUAUGCUAAAGAAAAAAUGGUUGAUGAAGUAAUGCAUAUAUUUACAAAAAUGCGGCAGAAAGGAUUGAACCCUGAUGCAGUGAGCUACGGAACAGUAAUAGACUUACUUUCCAGGAUUGGUCGAAUGGAUGAUGCUAUGUCCCAGUUCGAUCAAAUGAUAACUGAAGGGUUAGCUCCUGAUAUCAUAGUUUUCAGCUCCCUUAUUAGUGGUUUCUGUUCUUGUGGCAAAUGGGAGAAGGUUCAUGAACUAUUUUCUGAGAUGUUGGAUCGCGGCAUCUGUCCUGACAGAGUGUUCUUCAACACUGUUAUGGAUCACCUUUGGAAAAAUGGAAGGGUUAUGGAAGCCCAACAUGUGUCCGACCUGAUGGUACACAUGGGUGUGAAGCCUUUUGUCCGUGAUUACAACACACUGAUACAUGGAUACUGUUUAGUUGGUAAGAUGGAUGAAGGGAGGAAGUUACUUGACAAUAUGUUCUCAAUUGGCUUGAAACCGGAUGAUUUCACCUAUAGCAUACUGAUUGAUGGUUACUCUAAGAAUGGCAGGAUAGAUGAUGCAUUGAUUAUUGUCAGGGAAAUGUUGGACGGGAAGGUUAAGCCUUCUAUUAUCACUUUUAAUAUUAUGAUUGGUGCGUUGCUUAAAGGUGGCAGAAAGGAAGAAGCCAAAGAUUUGUUUAAUGGUAUCUGGGCCAAAGGAUUAGUGCCUGACGUUGUUACAUAUAGCUUAAUGAUACAAAAACUAAUAGAAGAAGGUUCUCUACAAGAGUCUGAUGAUCUAUUCCUUUCUAUGGAGAAGAAUGGAUGUGCUGCUGACUCCCGGAUGCUAAAUGGUAUAGUCAGAAGCUUACUUCAGAAAGGGGAGAUGCCCAGGGCUGGGACUUAUCUGUCUAAAAUUGAUGAGAGGAGCUUCACCCUUGAAGCUUCCACGGCUAGCUUGUUGGCUGCAGUUGCGUCAGGGGGGAAAGGCCAGGAAUAUAAGGAGUUACUGCCUGAAAAAUAUCACUCUUUUCUGGAACAGGGCACUGAUUGA